rnacentral:rRNA from 1 species
UACGGAGGAUCCGAGCGUUAUCCGGAUUUAUUGGGUUUAAAGGGAGCGUAGGCCGGCUUUUAAGUCAGCUGUGAAAGUCCGCGGCUCAACCGUGGAAUUGCAGCGCGAACUGGGGGGCUUGAGUGCGCCGGAGGUAGGCGGAAUUCGUGGUGUAGCGGUGAAAUGCUUAGAUAUCACGAAGAACUCCGAUUGCGAAGGCAGCCUGCUAAGCUGCAACUGACAUUGAGGCUCGAAAGUGUGGGUAUCAAACAGG